AAUCAGCUGUUUGUUACAGCUUUGAUGACGUUUUGAUUAGAUGCAAUUUUUGCUUUAACAAACAGCAGUGAGAUCAAUUUUCAAUAAAAUUAAAGAAUAAUAAGGAAUCUAAAAAUGAGCGCAAAAGUUUUGGAAGUGGAUGAUGAUGUUGCCGAUAAUACUACGUCUACUGGUACGCAUCGUAUCCAUUUUACAAAAGAUGUAAAGAAUGCAAUCGAUAAGGUGCUAAAAACUGAGGAUCCAAUGGACUCACCUGACUUCAAUACAGUCGAUUACAUUAAUCAGCUUUUUCCAAAUGAACAGUCUUUGGUAACCAUUGAUGAGACCAUACAGCGCAUGCAAUGUGAAGUGUCAUUAAUUGAUGAUAAUAUACGUGCUGUUGUGCGUGGCCAAACCAAUACAGGUCAGGAUGGGCAAAUGGCUCUUACCGAAGCUCAAAAAGUUAUAACAACAUUGUAUGCGCACAUUAUUGAUGUGAAAACGCGUGCUGAAAAGACAGAGGAAAUGGUAAAAGAAAUUACGCGCGAUAUUAAACAGUUGGAUUGUGCAAAACGAAAUCUUACUUCUGCGAUUACGACACUAAAUCACUUGCAUAUGCUGGUAGGCGGUAUUGAAAGUUUAAAUAAAUUAAUUGAAAAGCGUUUGUAUGGCGAGAUAUUAAAUCCAUUGCAAGCAAUUACUGAAGUUAAUCAACAUUUCAAACAAUAUUCUGAUAUUGAAGAAAUAAAGAAUUUAUCGCAAAAUGUGGACAAAAUACAAGUGACAUUGGCUAAACAAAUAACCGAAGAUUUUAAAGAUGCAUUCUCACAUAAAUCAGUUUCAAGUGGUAAUGCCAGCAACAAACAGCGUUUGGGCUUGAAUCAACUGGCGGAUGCUUGUAAAGUGAUUUCCGUUUUGGAUCCAAAAGUCAAAAAGGAACUGUUAAAGUGGUUUAUAGCACAACAACUUGAAGAGUACGUGCAACUCUUUCACGAGAACCAAGAUAUUGCCUGGUUGGAUAAAAUCGACAAACGCUACGCUUGGCUUAAACGCCACCUACUUGACUUUGAGGAUAAAUUCGGCGUUGUAUUUCCACUCGACUGGGAAGUAUCUGAGCGUAUUACUGUCGAAUUCUGUCGUCUAACUCGUGAACAACUCACACAAAUUAUGUCGAAGCGCAGCAACGAAAUCGAUGUGCGUCUACUACUCUUUGCCAUCAAUAAAACACAAGCUUUUGAACAGCUGCUAUCCAAACGUUUCACCGGCGUAACUUUGGGCGCUGAGCGGCGACCAUCAACAACAGCGCUCAAAGUACUACCCGAAAGUGGCAUGGUUGAUCCAAAUGCGCCGCCAACCAUUGGUUUAUUUCAAGAUCAAAUUGGCAGUUGCUUUAAGGCACAUCUAGGCAUUUAUAUUAAGAGCAUCGAUCGUAAUCUAUCGGAACUAAUGGAGAAAUUUGUGGACUUGGCUAAGGAACCCUUUAAAGUUGCCGAAUCGAAAACGACUGUCUAUCCAAGUUCGGCAGACUUAUUUGUAUUUUAUAAAAAGUGUAUGGUGCAGUGCUGUCAGCUGAGCAAUGAACAGCCGAUGUAUGAAUUGGCGCUAGUUUUUAAAAAGUAUCUUCGUGAAUAUGCCAGCAAAGUAUUAGAGUUUAGCACACCAAAAUUGCUAACAACAACAGCGUCGAUUGGUAAAAGCAUGUCCUUGCUCACACGUGAUAUGCAGAAUCUCUCCACAGCCGCAGGUCAAGUUUUCCAUAAUUUCUUGAAAGAGGGCGACACGCAACGUUUUUCACGCGAAGAUUUAAUACAAAUCUGCUGUGUGCUAACCACAGCGGAAUAUUGUCUGGAGACAGUGCAACAAUUGGAGGACAAACUUAAGGAGAAAAUAUCUACAGCUUAUGCCAAUAAAAUAGAUAUGUCAGAGGAAAAGGAUGUCUUUCAUCGCAUUAUUUCAAACUGCAUACAAUUGCUGGUGCAGGAUUUGGAAGCGGGCUGUGAAGCGCCGCUACAGUCUAUGUCCAAAGUACAGUGGCAGAGCAUAAGCAAUGUUGGUGAUCAGAGUGCCUUCAUUAGCAGCAUUUGUGCAAAUUUCAAACAGACAAUACCGGUGAUUCGCGAUAAUUUGGCCACAUCACGCAAAUACUUCACACAAUUCUGUCACAAGUUUGUCAACGCUUUCAUACCGAAAUUCAUUAACGUUCUCUACAAAUGCAAGCUAACACAUUCCGAUGGCACCAACAAUGUUUUGGGUUGCGAGCAACUCUUACUCGAUACGCACAGUCUGAAAACCGCUUUGCUCGAUUUGCCUUCAAUUGGUUCGAGCGUUAAUCGUAAGGCGCCCACCAGUUACACCAAAGUCGUUGUGAAGGAUAUGACACGUGCCGAAAUGAUUAUCAAAGUGGUUAUGACACCCGUACAGCCGCCAGCACAUUUUACGCAGCAGGUGCUUAAACUUUUGCCCGACAUCACCAUUGCGGAAUAUCAGAAAAUUUUAGAUAUGAAAGCGGUGAAACGCGUCGACCAGCUGCAAUUGAUUGAUCUCUUCAAACACACUGCCUCUCAUGUUGCCGUAGUCGAUGGUUUGCCCGAAAUAUCAGCAGCUGCUGACGAUGAAAGUGCGCAGGCGCAAUCAGAACUGAAUGUCAGCGAUAAUACGGAUGCGAGUUCAUCGUCUACGAAGUGCAACAAUGGCACUGAUGAAAACGCACAGUCAGCAACUGUCACUGCUGCGGCGCCAGCUGGCGGUGCCACUUCCACACCGAAGCGUGCAUUUAUUUUCAGUGUCGGCAGUUUUACGGGCAGCGCAGAUAAGCACGCCGAUGGCUCGUCGAAUAGCGGCAGCGAUCGUGGUCGCAUACGCAAAUUGGAGAGUUUGUUGAAGAAGCGUUUGCCAUAAGUUGUUAUUGCACAUGACUGUUGAUUUUAUUCGUCUGCUGUUUAGUUAUAAAAUUUUUGUUUCACUUUACUUUUUUGAUUUUAAUUCCCACCCAGUUUCAAAACAAACUCGCUUUAUAAAAAGUGUUUACUGGGAUAUAUCGAUGUGUCAUCUGGCCGCGCAUAAUUUGGGAAUGGAAUGAAGUCAACAAAACUCCAACAAAAACAACGAAAUAACAUAUGCAAAGCAACAACUAAGCAAGUCUAUAAAUUUACGUAGAUCGGAAAAAACAUAAGCAACGCACUCAGCAACCGGCUGUUCAAUAAAUAUAGAAAAAUUGCCAAAAAUUUUCAGUAAAAGAGUCGAAUAAUUGCUGUCUAAAAAUGCUACAAUGCGAAGAACUGAAGGACGAUGAAGGUCCCUCGAAUACGCUGGAGCAGUUUACGGAAUUGGAGCAAGUACUCGAAAUGAUCGAUUUUUUGAAAGCUUGCGAUGCGCCAGGCUUUGAAAAAGACCAUGAGCAAUAUACGGAAAUUUUAUCUCGAUAUCAAGAGCAGCCACAUUUACUAGAUCCGCAUUUAAAUGUAUUAUUGGAGCGAUUGCUAGCGAAAGUUCAUAACAGGGCGUUGUCGGAAGGCGAAAUCCAUGCCGCCUUCAAAUAUAUGUAUAUUAUUACUAAAGUACGCACAUACAAAGUAUUGGUAAAGUUUUUACCACAUGAAUUGACUGAUCUCGAAUUCGCUUUGGAAAUGCUCGAGCGUCAAAAUCCCAAUGAAUUUAACCACUGGGAGACACGAUACAUGCUGUUGCUUUGGAUGUCUAUAUUGGUUUUGAAUCCCUUCCAUAUGUCUCGUUUGGAUGCUUAUGUCACAAAGACUAACGAGCCAACUUCGUCUGGUAACUGCGUUGACACUACGCAAAUGUUGAACCAUACAAAUGUCCAUAGUAAAUCGAAAAUGGAACGGAUUUUUGAUCUCUGCCAAUUAUAUUCAGCCACAAAUGACACAUGUAGCAAUAUAGCCGCAUAUUUGGCAGCCAAAUAUUUAGUGCGCGCUGAUAUUAAAGAUAUUUACUUGGAACGUUACUUGGACUGGGUUAUGAGCCAACAUCAAUCGGAAACUGGCGACGCUAAAUUCGGUGAAUUAGCUGCCGUUUCUGCUAUUUUGAAGCAUGGAAAGCGUGAAGAUUUGUUGCCAUAUGCCGAUAAAUUACUGAAAUGGAUUGUUGGACUGCAAUAUAAAGAAAGUAAUGAUUUUUUGAAAUACAAGUGCUACAUAAAGAUUGUGCAGCGCAUAGGUUUGGUGUACUUGAAGCCGCGGUUGGCAGGCUGGCGAUACAAGCGUGGUACGCGUUCAUUGGCUAAGAAUUUGAAUAAGUCAACAAAUGCUGCGGCUAACGAAAGCGCCAGCGGAAAUGAACCUGAUACGGACAAUGCAGAUGGUGAUGGCGAAGAAAUCAUUGUUCCAGAUGCCAUUGAGGAAGUAAUAGAAGAAUUGCUGCAAGCAUUGCGCAGUGGUGGUAGUGACAUACGUUGGAGCGCAGCCAAGGGUAUAGGGCGUGUCACAAACAGACUCUCCAAAGAAUUGGCUGAUGAAGUAAUUGGUUCCGUUAUUGACAUAUUAAAUCCACUAGAGCCGCAUGAGGCUUGGCAUGGGGCAUGCCUAGCGCUAGCUGAGCUGGCAAAGCGUGGGCUACUGUUGCCACAUCGUCUACGUACGCUGGUGCCACUAUUGAUGCAGGCUUUGUUUUACGAUGAAAUGAAGGGCUACAUGUCCGUGGGUCAGCAUAUACGCGAUGCUGCUUGUUACAUGUGCUGGGCAUUUGCACGCGCCUAUAAUCCAGAAGAUUUUCAACCUUUCGUGGAGCAAAUAUCUUCAGGUCUACUGACGGUCGCUGUAUUCGAUCGUGAAAUAAAUUGUCGACGCGCUGCAGCUGCUGCUUUCCAAGAGAGUGUUGGUCGUUUAGGAAAUUUCCCACAUGGCAUAGAAAUUUCAACAGCAACCGAUUUUUUUUCUGUGGGUUUACGGCAAAAUUCCUACUUGAAUGUAGGUGAUUACAUAGCACAAUUUGAGGAGUAUCAGAAACCGCUGAUCGAUCACUUAGUCGAGCGAAAAGUGAAUCACUGGGAUACGUUGAUACGUGAACUAACCGCAAAGGCGUUGCACAAGCUAACCUUUCGCGCACCAGAAUAUAUGGCAACUGUGGUGUUGGGACAGCUUUUGGGCAAAACGGAGUCAAUUGAUAUCAAUAUGCGGCACGGUACUGUGCUAGCGAUUGGUGAAAUUACAUUGGCUUUGAGCGAGACAGAGCGUCAAGUUGAAGGCAAUGCUUGCAAAAAGUUUCUAUCUAAUCAAUUGGUGACCGACCUAAAUGAGUUGAUGGCAAAAUAUGUGCAUCGCGACAUGUUCCGUGGCAUGAGCGGUGAAAUUAUGAAACACUGUUCUACUGAUUUCAUAAGAAAUUGCAGCAUGGCACGAAUUGAAGCAUCCGUUACAUGCGUAGAAUCUUGGCAGUAUAUCAUCGAUAAAUGUCUGUUGAAUAAAGCAUCUGCCAUACGUGAGGGUGCAUCAGCAGCUUUCGCAGAACUGUGCCGCUCAUACUAUAUGGGUGAUGAGCGAUUUGGCCCAAAUGCCGAAAUUAUAAGAAGCUACAUAAAAGGUGC